UGGAGCCGCCGCUGGGACAGAACUUCUGCGGUAACGCCGCGUAUGGAGCUUUCGCGGAGCUCACACUCGCUGAUCUCCGUGAGCUUCCACUCUCGUCUAUCGCUGGUCGUGUCCAGGAGGCAAAGAGGCGAGUUAGCAACGAGUACGUUCGAUCUGGAUGGGACUACCUGGAGUUGCAUCCGGAUGCUUGGUACCACCACGACUGCGAGACGAUGAUCAACGCUUGGCCGAGGCUGAUGCGCGAGUCCCUGGAGCUGGAUUUCGGAUGGGGGAAGCCGCGAAGAGUG
rnacentral:lncRNA from 1 species